AGCAGUGAGGAAUAUUGGUCAAUAGCCUAACCGGCUGAACCAGCAACUUGGAGGAAUGUACAGGGAAAACUGGCAAAAUGUGAUGUACCUAAUAGUAUUAGUGAUUAAUAUGAAAUUAACUAAGUUAAUUAAAAUUCGAAGUAGAUAUGUGAUUAUGACAAUAUUUGCUUAUUUCUUGACCAAGUCACGUGCCAGCAGUCGCGGUAAUACGUGGUAGAUUAGUGUUAUUCAUCUUAAGUAGGUUUAAAGGGUACCUAGACGGUUAAUUAAGCAUAUUUGUGUACUAAUUAUUAACUAGAGUUUAAUGUAAGAAGGAUUGAGUACGGUGAGUGUAGAGAUAAAAUUCUGUCAUACCACUUAGGAACUGGUAAAGGCGAAGGCAACCUUUUAUGUAAAAACUGACGUUAAGGGACGAAGGCUCGUAUUAAGCAAUAGGAUUAGAGACCCUAGUAUUGUGGGCAGACAAUGAUGAGUGUCAUAUGCAAGAAAAAUUUUUGUGUAUAAAUGAAAGUGUAAGCACUCCACCUCAAGAGUAACGUGGCAACAUGGGAACUGAAAUCAUUAGACCGUUUCUGAAACUCGUAGUGAAGUAUGUUGUUUAAUUUGAUAACCCUCAAAUAACCUUACCACAAUUUGAAUUACUGGUGAAGAUUAACUAGUAACAAGCGUUGCACGGCUGUCUUCAGUCAAUGUUGUGAAACUUUGGUUAGAUCCAUUAAAUUGACGUAAACCCUUGCUUUAUUUGUUAUAAAGCAGUUCGCCGCUAUAUUGGUAGUGAUAUAAGGA
rnacentral:rRNA from 1 species